AGAUUGAACGCUGGCGGCAUGCCUAACACAUGCAAGUCGAACGGGAGUAGCAAUACUCUAGUGGCGGACGGGUGAGGAAUACGUAGGAAUUUGCCCUUAAGUGGGGGAUAACCCGGGGAAACCCGGAUUAAUACCGCAUGACCUCGAAAGAGCAAAGUGGGGGAUCGCAAGACCUCACGCUUUUGGAGAAGCCUACGUCGGAUUAGCUAGUUGGUGAGGUAAUGGCUCACCGAAGGCGACGAUCCGUAACUGGUCUGAGGAGGAUGAUCAGUCACGA
rnacentral:rRNA from 1 species